rnacentral:rRNA from 1 species
UACGGGGGGGGUAAGCGUUGUUCGGAAUUACUGGGCGUAAAGGGCUCGUAGGCGGCCUACUAAGUCAGACGUGAAAUCCCCAGGCUCAACCUGGGAACUGCGUCUGAUACUGGUUGGCUUGAAUCCGGGAGAGGGAUGCAGAAUUCCAGGUGUAGCGGUGAAAUGCGUAGAUAUCUGGAGGAAUACCGGUGGCGAGGGCGGCAUCCUGGACCGGCAUUGACGCUGAGGAGCGAAAGCUAGGGGAGCAAACGGG